rnacentral:tRNA from 1 species
GGGGAUGUAGCUCAGUGGUAGAGCGUUCGCUUCGCAUGUGAAAGGUCCGGGGUUCGAACCCCCGCAUCUCCA